rnacentral:rRNA from 1 species
UACGAAGGAUCCGAGCGUUAUCCGGAUUUAUUGGGUUUAAAGGGUGCGUAGGUGGCCUGUUAAGUCAGGGGUGAAAGACGGUAGCUCAACUAUCGCAGUGCCCUUGAUACUGAUGGGCUUGAAUGAACUAGAGGUAGGCGGAAUGUGACAAGUAGCGGUGAAAUGCAUAGACAUGUCACAGAACACCAAUUGCGAAGGCAGCUUACUAUGGUUUUAUUGACACUGAGGCACGAAAGCGUGGGGAUCAAACAGG